rnacentral:rRNA from 1 species
UACGUAGGGGGCGAGCGUUGUCCGGAAUCAUUGGGCGUAAAGCGCGUGUAGGCGGCCCGGUAAGUCCGCUGUGAAAGUCCAGGGCUCAACCCUGGGAUGCCGGUGGAUACUGUCGGGCUCGAGUCCGGAAGAGGCGAGUGGAAUUCCUGGUGUAGCGGUGAAAUGCGCAGAUAUCAGGAGGAACACCAGUGGCGAAGGCGACUACCUGGCCUGUCUCUUGACGCUGAGGCGCGAAAGCUAGGGGAGCAAACGGG